GACGAACGCUGGCGGCGUGCCUAAUACAUGCAAGUUGAGCGAUGAAGAUUGGUGCUUGCACCAAUUUGAAGAGCAGCGAACGGGUGAGUAACGCGUGGGGAAUCUGCCUUUGAGCGGGGGACAACAUUUGGAAACGAAUGCUAAUACCGCAUAACAACUUUAAACAUAAGUUUUAAGUUUGAAAGAUGCAAUUGCCUCACUCAAAGAUGAUCCCGCGUUGUAUUAGCUAGUUGGUGAGGUAAAGGCUCACCAAGGCGGUGAUACAUAGCCGACCUGAGAGGGUGAUCGGCCAAAUUGGGACUGAGACACGGCCCAAACUCCUAAGGGAGGCAGCAGUAGGGAAUCUUCGGAAAUGGACGAAAGUCUGACCGAGCAACGCCGCGUGAGUGAAGAAGGGUUUCGGAUCGUAAAACUCUGUUGGUAGAGAAGAACGUUGGUGAGAGUGGAAAGCUCAUCAAGUGACGGUAACUACACAGAAAGGGACGGCUAACUACGUG
rnacentral:rRNA from 1 species